GAGGACGUCUGAGCCAUGCUCGCGGCGAUGGGCUCUCUGGCGGCUGCCCUCUGGGCAGUGGUCCAUCCUCGGACUCUCCUGCUGGGCACUGUCGCCUUUCUGCUUGCUGCUGACUUUCUCAAAAGACGGCGCCCAAAGAACUACCCGCCGGGGCCCUGGCGCCUGCCCUUCCUUGGCAACUUCUUCCUUGUGAACUUCGAGCAGUCGCACCUGGAGGUUCAGCUGUUUGUGAAGAAAUAUGGGAACCUUUUUAGCUUGGAGCUUGGUGAUAUAUCUGCAGUUCUUAUUACUGGCUUGCCCUUAAUCAAAGAAGCCCUUAUCCACAUGGACCAAAACUUUGGGAACCGCCCCGUGACCCCUAUACGAGAACAUAUCUUUAAGAAAAAUGGAUUGAUUAUGUCAAGUGGCCAGGUAUGGAAGGAGCAAAGAAGGUUCACUCUGACAGCACUAAGGAACUUUGGUUUAGGAAAGAAGAGCUUAGAGGAACGCAUUCAGGAGGAGGCCCAACACCUCACUGAAGCAAUAAAAGAGGAGAACGGACAGCCUUUUGACCCUCAUUUCAAGAUCAACAAUGCAGUUUCCAAUAUCAUUUGCUCCAUCACCUUUGGAGAACGCUUUGAGUACCAGGAUAGUCGGUUUCAGCAGCUGCUGAAGUUACUGGAUGAAGUCACCUACUUGGAGGCUUCAAAGACAUGCCAGCUCUACAAUGUCUUUCCAUGGAUAAUGAAAUUCCUGCCUGGACCCCACCAAACUCUCUUCAGCAACUGGAAAAAACUAAAAUUGUUUGUUUCUCAUAUGAUUGACAAACACAGAAAGGAUUGGAAUCCUGCAGAAACAAGAGACUUUAUUGAUACUUACCUUAAAGAAAUGUCAAAGCACACAGGCAAUCCUACUUCAAGUUUCCAUGAAGAAAACCUCAUCUGCAGCACCCUGGACCUCUUCUUUGCCGGAACCGAGACAACUUCCACAACUCUGCGAUGGGCUCUGCUUUAUAUGGCCCUCUACCCAGAAAUCCAAGAAAAAGUACACGCUGAGAUUGACAGAGUGAUUGGCCAGGGGCAGCAGACGAGCACAGCCGCCCGGGAGUCCAUGCCCUACACCAAUGCUGUCAUCCAUGAGGUGCAGAGAAUGGGGAACAUCGUCCCCCUGAACGUUCCCAGGGAAGUGACAGUUGAUACCACUUUGGCUGGGUACCACCUGCCCAAGAACAUCUCACCAGACUAGGGAUCUGCCAAACUUUGGGAAAUUCUGCUUCAUGAACCUGGGGUUCUAGAAUGCUAAAAUGUGAAAGGACAUUUAAGACCACCUGGGACAACAUCACAUUAAUGCUGGUGUUUUUAACAUAAUAUCCCCACAGGGUACCAUGAUCCUGACCAAUUUGACGGCGCUGCACAGGGACCCCACAGAGUGGGCCACCCCUGACACAUUCAAUCCGGACCAUUUUCUGGAGAAUGGACGGUUUAAGAAAAGGGAAGCCUUUAUGCCUUUCUCAAUAGGAAAGCGGGCAUGCCUCGGAGAACAGUUGGCCAGGACUGAGCUGUUUAUUUUCUUCACUUCCCUUAUGCAGAAAUUUACCUUCAGGCCCCCAAACAAUGAGAAGCUGAGCCUGAAGUUUAGAAUGGGCAUCACCAUUUCCCCAGUCAGUCACCGCCUCUGCGCUGUUCCUCGGGUGUAAUAUUGUUAAGAAAGAAAGGGGCAAGGAAAGUAAGAAGACAUGGCAUGUGUUCUGAAACCACUGGUGCCUGCUCAGAUGUGUUAGGACAAAAUGAAAGUGACUUUCAAGAAAGAUCAGAGGAAUUUGACUCAGAGAAAACUAGAUCCAAAUCCCAGCUCUACUGUCUCGUCCAGAUUAGCCUUGGGAAAAUCAUUUAUGUGCUAAAUAAUUUACCUUUUUAUCUAGGAGAUGAAAAGAGGAUAAUGAUUCCUUCCAUAAAGAAAGUUCUUGUAAGAAUCAAAAGAUAUGGUGAGCUUUAAGGGGUUUGUAAACCGUAAAGCACAUCAUAAAA
rnacentral:sRNA from 1 species